UAACUGAAGAGUUUGAUCAUGGCUCAGAUUGAACGCUGGCGGCAGGCUUAACACAUGCAAGUCGAGCGGGGGAAGGUAGCUUGCUACUGGACCUAGCGGCGGACGGGUGAGUAAUGCUUAGGAAUCUGCCUAUUAGUGGGGGACAACAUCUCGAAAGGGAUGCUAAUACCGCAUACGUCCUACGGGAGAAAGCAGGGGAUCUUCGGACCUUGCGCUAAUAGAU
rnacentral:rRNA from 1 species